rnacentral:lncRNA from 1 species
CUUGGAGCUUAGUCAGCAAGGCUCUCCAGAGCAGUUGGGGGGAGGGGCAUUGGAGCUGGAGGUUCCCUGCCCUCUGAAGCCUUCUCAUCUGCCCUACUGAUAAGAUUGAACCAGUGUGGAGUUUAUCUGCAGAGCAGGGGGGGCAAGAUGGAGUGUUUUGGCUGUGACUAGGCUGCCUACUCAGCACUUCUUCUCCAGGUGCCUCCCUGCUGCCUGUAUUCAACACCCUGAGCUUGGCACAGCUAUGCCAGCAAGCUUAAAAACAUGUUAUGAAGCAGUGUGAUGGGGCCCUCACUACUCUGACACUGGCUAGAAGUCUUCAUUUUGAAAAGGAAAAAGUCAGAAGAAACCUUGGAAGACAUGUAUAAACUGAUGCAGUUAAAGGGGCAGAACAAUUUAUUCAAUGACAAACCUGGAAAGACAUUCAACCUUGAAAGGUUUAAGGAUGCUGACUAAUGAUGAAGCAUGUUAUCUACACUACCACAGCGAACUGAUGGAUUUAAAAAAAAACAGAAAAAAGAAAGAAGAGGAGAGUUGGUAUUUAUAUGGUGAUUUAAAGUUUGCAAAGUACUUUACAAAUAUGAUUUCACUUCUCUUCCUCUCAACAAUUCUGAAAGGUCAUCAGCAAAUUUGAGAAAUACUCUCUCUGCCUUCAUCCAAGUAAUGGACAUUAAUAUUGAACAGAAAAUGGCCAAGGACAGAGAUAUGUCUUUCCUAGAUGAAAUCACUCUCUACCUUUUGGAUCAUGGUAUCAAUACAGUCCUGAAUCUGCCUAAUAUUAUCAUCCUAUUCUUAGUCUCAAAAUAUUUUCUUCUAAUUCUAUCCACUAUAAUUGGAUUUGUAAAAUCAGAAUAAUUUCAAAGAGAGGAAAACUAGGUUGGCAUAGGAGUUAUUCAAAUAUGUUAUCUUUAUAUUUGUAUUAAUAAAUAUGGAGAUGUAGUUUUAUGUCUUCA